rnacentral:rRNA from 1 species
GACGAACGCCGGCGGCGUGCUUAACACAUGCAAGUCGAACGGAAAGGCCCUGCUUUUGUGGGGUGCUCGAGUGGCGAACGGGUGAGUAACACGUGAGUAACCUGCCCUUGACUUUGGGAUAACUUCAGGAAACUGGGGCUAAUACCGGAUAGGAGCUCCUGCUGCAUGGUGGGGGUUGGAAAGUUUCGGCGGUUGGGGAUGGACUCGCGGCUUAUCAGCUUGUUGGUGGGGUAGUGGCUUACCAAGGCUUUGACGGGUAGCCGGCCUGAGAGGGUGACCGGCCACAUUGGGACUGAGAUACGGCCCAGACUCCUACGGGAGGCAGCAGUGGGGAAUAUUGCACAAUGGGCGGAAGCCUGGUGCAGCAACGCCGCGUGCGGGAUGACGGCCUUCGGGUUGUAAACCGCUUUCGCCUGUGACGAAGCGUGAGUGACGGUAAUGGGUAAAGAAGCACCGGCUAACUACGUGCCAGCAGCCGCGGUGAUACGUAGGGUGCGAGCGUUGUCCGGAUUUAUUGGGCGUAAAGGGCUCGUAGGUGGUUGAUCGCGUCGGAAGUGUAAUCUUGGGGCUUAACCCUGAGCGUGCUUUCGAUACGGGUUGACUUGAGGAAGGUAGGGGAGAAUGGAAUUCCUGGUGGAGCGGUGGAAUGCGCAGAUAUCAGAAGGAACACCAGUGGCGAAGGCGGUUCUCUGGGCCUUUCCUGACGCUGAGGAGCGAAAGCGUGGGGAGCGAACAGGCUUAGAUACCCUGGUAGUCCACGCUGUAAACGGUGGGUACUAGGUGUGGGGUCCAUUCCACGGGUUCCGUGCCGUAGCUAACGCUUUAAGUACCCCGCCUGGGGAGUACGGCCGCAAGGCUAAAACUCAAAGGAAUUGACGGGGCCCCGCACAAGCGGCGGAGCAUGCGGAUUAAUUCGAUGCAACGCGUAGAACCUUACCUGGGUUUGACAUGGAUCGGGAGUGCUCAGAGAUGGGUGUGCCUCUUUUGGGGUCGGUUCACAGGUGGUGCAUGGCUGUCGUCAGCUCGUGUCGUGAGAUGUUGGGUUAAGUCCCGCAACGAGCGCAACCCUUGUUCACUGUUGCCAGCACGUUAUGGUGGGGACUCAGUGGAGACCGCCGGGGUCAACUCGGAGGAAGGUGGGGAUGACGUCAAGUCAUCAUGCCCCUUAUGUCCAGGGCCUCACGCAUGCUACAAUGGCUGGUACAGAGAGUGGCGAGCCUGUGAGGGUGAGCGAAUCUCGGAAAGCCGGUCUCAGUUCGGAUUGGGGUCUGCAACUCGACCUCAUGAAGUCGGAGUCGCUAGUAAUCGCAGAUCAGCAACGCUGCGGUGAAUACGUUCCCGGGGCU